GGAAUAUCGAAUGAUCGAAUUAAAAUUAUCAUUUAUCACAUGUGUUUACAAUCCUGCCGUAGAGCUGAGAGUAGUUUGGACUCGAUAGAAAAGUAUCAAAUUCUACUACAGUUUCAGGUUAGUUGAUCAUUCUGUCGAUAAUAAGUUAGCAUACUAAUUUCUUCCAUAUAUAUUUUAUAUUUAUCUUGUUGGUUAGAGACGGACAAAUCUUUCAUAGCGAUCACAAAAAAAUGAUGACAGCUGCAAAAGUUAGUCUAGUCUGCUAACGAUGUAUAUACAGUACCUUGAAAGCUGCGGCAAACCUAAAUAUUUGUAGUUUCAAAUAAAUUUGGCUCUGUGUAUACUGUAUAUUAACAUCUCGACAUUUAAUAAUAUAGAACUGUGACUAUAUAAAAGUAUCAAUUUAUAGUCAAAGAUGCUAACGAGCUAGUAUAGACAGUAUAAGAUUAAUAUUUUAUAACAAUAUAUAACUCCACUGGAGGUUUCCAUCCAGAAAUCCCUUCAACAAUUUGUUACAUCGAGUAAGAUGGCCAAAAUCCUGAUAUUUACCCAUACAUCAUACAUUGGCAUCACUUUAGUAUUUAUACAUGAACUUGUGGUUAGAGCUCGACAACUGUCUCUCGAUCUGCAGCUUGCUUGGAGCCCUGCACCCGACCGGAAUCACAGGGCCACAGGUUCGAUUCCUGCACCCGAUGGAAUCACAGGGCCACAGGUUCGAUUCCUGCACCCGAUGGAAUCACAGGGCCACAGGUUCGAUUCCUGCACCCGAUGGAAUCACAGGGCCACAGGUUCGAUUCCUGCCAGAGGUCCGAUGGCGAUGGUUGCAUUUUUUUGCAACUGCUCCUGGUUAGGUCUAAUAAAUGUAUAAAAAUUAAAUUCCACUUGAAAUUUCCAUCUACAAAUUCCUUCGACAAUUAGUUAUUAAUUAUGUCCAAAAUUCUGAUUGAGGACUGCCUUUUUAAAAUUGGUUUAGGAAACCAAAUUGCAGGCACGGAUUUUCUGGGGUUGCGGGGAUGCACCCCCCAGAAAUGAUUUGCACCCCCCAGAGGCAUUUGGCACCGCCCCCAAAAAUUUUUCCACCCCCGCAAAUUGUAUAUAUUUUGAUUUGAUAGUUUCAUAUUUGAUUAUUCUUACUACUAAAUUUGUAAAAUUACCAAUAUUAUGGUCUCAGAUCUCGCCAUAGAAGGCAGGCCUAGAAAACAAAUUUUGUUGAUAUUUAUCCACACACCCCGAACGAAAAUAUGAAAUCCAUCUCUGCCAAAUUGACGUUGAUGCACAAUUAUGCAUCUUUCCAUUGAUGCACAUUCAUGCAUUCAAGAUGCAUGUAACCAUAUUUCCAUUAUUAAUAAUUGCAUAAGAUGUAUUUAUUGAUUAUUUUGUCUUUUUCUUUUCAGAUACUGGGAAGACAUAUAAAUUGUCUAUCACCUCUGAUCUGCUGUUUCUAAUUUUGGAUUCCCAACAGCUCAGAAUUUUUUCAUAUGACGACAUCAUUUUUAGCUGUACUAUCAUUUUUCUGCUUAUGGACAACAGUGUAUUACAUGCUUUGUGUCUUCAAUAACAAACGAAGCCUGGAAUGGAACUGUCGUAUAGUAACCAUCGUCCAUGGUAUAUUAAGUUGUACCAUUUGUAUGUACUGUGGAUCUUAUACUGGACCAUGGCCAUUUGAUGCUUUGGGUGAGCCCAGUACCCCUCUUCAGACUCUCUGCAUUGUUAUAACAUUGGGAUACUUUUUAUUUGAUUUUAUUUGGUGCAUUGUUAUGGGUACGGAAGGAAUUGACAUGUUACUUCAUCAUAUAACAUCCAUAUGCGGCCUGGUUUUAUCUCUUUAUCUGGAACAUUCGGGGGCAGAACUCAUUGCGACCAUAUUUGGCUCAGAAAUAUCGAAUCCCAGCCUACAGAUCAGGUGGUUUUUCCGUGAAACAGGCAAAUACCAGACACGACUUGCUAAACUUAAUGAUAUUGUGUUUAUAGUGUUGUUCCUGUGUAUACGUAUUGGAGUGGGUGCUCGAUUAUUUACUAAUACCAUGAUCUCACCAAAGCCAUCUAUACUUAUCAAACUUGGGGGUGUAGCUUUGUAUACACUUAGUCUUGUAUGGAUGCUUCUAAUUGUACGUUUUGCCAAGAAACGAUUUUUUGGCAAUAAAAGAAAACAUUAGUUACACUUUAAUAGUCAGAGUGAUUUUAAUAUAAUAAUUAUAAUUAGGACUAAUUUACUAUGUAAAGGAUAAACAAUGAUCAAUGUGUGUUCAGUGGCUGAAUGGCCUGUCCAACUAUAUCCCACUGAACACAACUGAUCAUGAUUGUCUAUCCGACCUUAGAACAUGAUCACAUUCAGGCCUAAAAAAAUACCUGUGGUUCCUGUUUCAUAUCGUGAAAAAAUUAGGGUUGGUAGGUUAGAAACAAAUUUUUUUCGAAUAUUUUUUCAUGCUUUUGGCGGUUUUUGCUGGGCAAUUUGCAGUAGAGUACCGACAUCAAUGUUAACUAGUGAUGCAUAUUUCCUAUGGACAAAUUUAGGCAAUUCUGUUCAAUAAUUAAUUUAAUUAAUUAGUGUGACAACAGAUGCCAUUUUGGCACUGUUUGAGCAGCCUGCAACCACCCGGAGAAAAUAGGGUCGCACGGUCAAUCGCAUUGAAAAAAUAAUAGGGUCAACAGAAAAAUAUAGGGUUGGUCGGGAACUGGCCAUGAACCACGGGUAUUUUUUUUAAUCCUCACAAAGAAUUAAUCCUUUCUUUAUAUUUUUAAAAUUUAUCGAUUAAUACUCGUAGUGAAUUUAUUGAACUGAUUAUGCUGCAAUGCUCAAUAUCUGAUUAGUAUGCUGUAUAUACUGUAGAUCAUACGAAUAAGGCUUUGUUUAUCUUUUGAAUGCUUCAUUAGUAUGCUCUAUCUAGAGCAUACUAAUGAGUUAUAUAGACCCACUGUAAUUGCUAUGAAGGUUGCUGUGAGACAGUUUAUGAGAUAUAGACCAUACAAAUAUACUAAAACUGUCUGUACCAGUGUGGGUAGUAUCAAUGUGAAAAUGCUGUGCUGAG